rnacentral:lncRNA from 1 species
AGGAGCUGCGGUUGCGGCGGUGGCAGCUGCAGCUGGAAGAGAAGGAGAGGAAGAGAAGGUGAGGAAGAAGAGAAGAAGAAAGGAAGGAGAGGAAGAAGAGAAGGGGAAGAAGGGGCUGCGGCUGCGGCGAUGGCAGCUGCUGCUGGAAGAGAAGAAGGAGAGGAAGAUGAGCAGGGGAGGAAGAAGAGGCUGCGGCCGUGGCUGAGGCUGCGACUGUUAGGAUCGAGAGCACUAAGAGGGGGGGGUGAAUUAGUGCAACG